CGCCUUUUGAAAAAAUAGAAGGUCUAACCUGCCCACUGAAGAUUUUAAAGGGCCGCGGUAUUUUGACCGUGCAAAGGUAGCAUAAUCAUUAGUCUUCUAAUUAAAGGCUGGAAUGAAUGGUUGGACGAGGUACUAGCUGUCUCACUAAAAUAAAUUUGAAUUUAGCUUUUUAGUCAAAAGGCUAAAAUGGAGUUGGAGGACGAGAAGACCCUAUAGAGCUUUACACUAAACUCUUUUAAUUUGUUUGGAAAUUUUUUAAUUUUAGGAGAAAAGUGUUUCGUUGGGGUGACGGGAAGAUAUAAUUAACUCUUUUUAAUGGUUAACAUUGGUAUAUGAGUAAUUGAUCCAUAAGUAAUGAUUAAAAGACUAAGUUACCUUAGGGAUAACAGCGUAAUCUUUUUUGAGAGUUCUAAUCGACAAGAAGGGUUGCGACCUCGAUGUUGGACUAAGGAUUAUUUUUGGGUGUAGCAGCUCAAAGUUUAGGUCUGUUCGACCUUUGAAUCUUUACAU
rnacentral:rRNA from 1 species